AGUUUGAUUCUGGCUCAGAUUGAACGCUGGCGGGAUGCUUUAUACAUGCAAGUCGAACGGCAGCACGGACUUCGGUCUGGUGGCGAGCAAGGAACGGGUGAGUAAUGUAUCGGAACGUGCCUAGUAUGGGGGGAUAACUACGCGAAAGCGUAGCUAAUACCGCAAGGCCGCCCUUCGGGGGAAAGCGGGGGACCUUCGGCCUUCGUACUAUUAGAGCGGCUGAUAUCGGAUUAGCUGAAGUUGUGGGGUAACGGCUCACCAAGGCGACGAUCCGUAGCUGGUUUGAGAGGACGAACAGCCACACUGGGACUGAGACACGGCCCAGACUCCUACGGGAGGCAGCAGUGGGGAAUUUUUGGACAAUGGGGGAAACCCCCGAUCCAGCCAGCAUCCCGCGUGCGCGAUGAAGCACCGGGUUGUGAAAGCACUUUUGGCAGGAAAGAAACGGCACGGGAUAAUACCCCGUGCAACUGACGGUACCUGCAGAAUAAGCACCGGCUAACUACGUGCCAGCAGCCGGCGGUAAUACGUAGGUGCAAGCGUUAAUCGGAAUUACCGGGCGUAAAGCGUGCGCAGGCGGUUCGGAAAGAAAGAUGUGAAAUCCCAGAGCUUAACUUUGGAACUGCAUUUUUAACUACCGAGCUAGAGUGUGUCAGAGGGAGUGGAAUUCCGCGUGUAGCAGUGAAUGCGUAGAUAAGUGCGGAGGAACACCGAUGGCGAAGGCAGCCUCCUGGGAUAACACUGACGCUCGCGCACGAAAGCGUGAGCAAACAGGAUUAGAUACCCUGGGUAGUCCACGCCCUAAACGAUGUCAACUAGCUGUUGGGGCCUUCGGGCCUUGGUAAAGUGCAGCUAACGCGGUGAAGUUGACCGCCUGGGGAGUACGGUCGUGGAUUAAAACUCAAAGGAAUUGACGGGGACUCCGCACAAGCGGUGGAUGAUGCGGAUUAAUUCGAUGCAACGCGAAAAACCUUACCUACCCUUGACAUGUCUGGAAUCCCGAAGAGAUUUGGGAGUGAAGCCUGCAAGAGAACCGGAACACAGGUGCUGUAUGGCCACGUCAGCUCGUGUCGAGAUGUUACAAGUCCCGCAACGAGCGCAACCUUGUCAUUAGUUGCUACGAAAGGGCACUCUAUCGAGACUGCCGGUGACAAACCGAGGAAGGUGGGGAUGACGUCAAGUCCUCAUGGCCCCUAUGGGUAGGGCCUCACACGUCAUACAAUGGCCGGGACAGAGGGUCGCCAACCCCGCGAGGGGGAGCCAAUCCCAGAACCUGAUUUGGGGUCCGAUCGCAGUCUGCAACUGACUGCGUGAAGUCGGAAUCGCUAGUAAUCGCGGAUCAGCAUGUCGCGGUGAAUACGUUCCCGGGUCUUGUACACCGCCCGUCAGCAGCACCAUGGAGGUUUUACCAGAAGUAGUUAGCC
rnacentral:rRNA from 1 species